UGAAGACGCUGAUUCAGCAACAGAUUUUGAGCGGGUUCGAGCUCGGUUCGGACUUGGGUUCGAAUCACGGAUGUUUCGGGUUUGUUCCGGGUCUCGGUUCAGAAAAGGAAGUAGCAGGACGUGAUUGACCUACCUUGACUGUUAACCAUUUUUAAGAGACCAACCGAGCAAACCAAAGGUAAUUAUUGAAGGAACUUGGGAGCUUGCUGUCUGAUGCUGCUGGAGUGGUUGUGGUCAUAA